rnacentral:ncRNA from 1 species
UAGGCCGAGAGGCGCUGCAACGGACCGCGCCGGUCCGCCACGCUCGGUCUGCCACGAAGGCUAACAAGGGCGCCUCCCAGAU